AUACGUAGGGGGCAAGCGUUGUCCGGAAUUAUUGGGCGUAAAGCGCAUGUAGGCGGUUUUGUAAGUCGGUCGUGAAAACGCGGGGCUUAACCUCGGAAGGGCAUUGGAACUGGCGAACCUGAGGGCAGGAGGGGGAAGGGGGAAUCCCAGGGGUACGGGGAAAAUAGGUAGAAAUUGGGAGGAACACCGGUGGGGAAGGGGCCUUUCUGGACUGUUUCUGACGCGCAGAUGCGAAAGCCAGGGUAGCGAACGGGAUUAGAUACCCCGGUAGUCCUGGCCGUAAACGAUGGGUACUAGGUGUGGGAGGUAUCGACUCCUUCCGUGCCGGAGUUAACGCAUUAAGUACCCCGCCUGGGGAGUACGGCCGCAAGGCUUAAACUCAAAUGAAUUGACGGGG
rnacentral:rRNA from 1 species